rnacentral:lncRNA from 1 species
AAAUUACUUUUAUAGUGACACGUAGGCCUCCAACUAACCAAUAAGGUGCAAGUCUGUGAACUUACAAUUUUGUCGAUACAAGGCUAACUGAAGUCCUUGAUGCAAUCGGCUAUCUACCGGCUAUCCCAAGCCUGAAAUGUAGGGAAUUUAUGGUGGUGAGAUUAUAAAAUCCCAAUGAGUAAACAAAUACCAUCUAAACUGUCUAAAGUCGAGUAAAUGGAGACAAGUAAGAUAUUCCAUUCUAGUAUGUUUUUCAUAACAUCAAUAAUCAAUUUACUCAAAUAAUCAACUUGGCUUAUUAUUUCACAAAACUUGGCUCCUACCAAUAUCAUUCCUAGGGAUGCCUUGGCCUAGGCAUCUGAUCGAGACCACCAAGGCUGUUCAGUGUAGUACACACAUGAACAUAUUUUUACAUUUGAAAAUCUAGCCAUGCCUUGGCGUUGGCUGAGUCUCACUCUCACGCGAUGGUCCAUGUGAAGUGCACUCAAAUCUUUACCUCUAGAGACACCCUUCACACAGCUCUCCGAUCGAGGUAAGUAUAUCUAAUUUUGUGCCUCCUCUCUUAGGCUGGUCCACAAAACCUCUACUGUAGGAAUUAUGGAUUAUUAUAUCUACCACCUGAUUUAUAAAAUCUUUAUCUGCAUGACAUGGCAAUUUAUCUCAACCUAGCCUCUCAAGGCUGAAUACAUAGUACAAAUAAUUCUAACACCAAAAAUCAGUUUAGCCAUUCAUGCUAAUAUUGUCAUAAGCCAUUCGAUUCAAAUCAUGAAUUUACAACACAUGAAAACAGUCUCUAAUUACUCUAUUUUCAAACCAUCAUUCAAUUUCAAGACAAUUUAUAAAAUCAUUUUAUUUAAACACAUUUUGGUUACAAAAUACAAAGAUUCACCAUUUAACUCAUUUUUCAUAAAAUCACAAAAUCGGAUAAAAACUAUUUUAGAUAAUUAAGAUGAUAGUAAGGUUACUCACAGUAUCAGGAGUAGAAAUACUCUUAGUCUCUGUCUUUGGUGUAAUGUCUUUAUCCUUAUCAAAUAUCUCACCACCUAUACAUCACACAUGACACAAAAUUCAAUAAUUUGUGUCAAUUUGUCAUAAGCUAUUUCAGGCCCUCUAAAUCUAAAUGAAUGCAUGGAAUGCUCGGUCAACCGCUUAAACGCGAUGUUGACCUAAUUCGGCCUAUCACACGAUUAAAUUACUAACGUGUCCAAUUUAAUCCCAAAUUACUCCAUUUCUUUUCUAAUACCUCAAUUCACCAAACAUUAUUCAAAUAACACCAAUUUCAACAUCAAAACCCUCCCAUUUCUUCAUGGAAAAAUUCGGCCAUUACAGUGCACUAACACCGUGAUUUUUCCUACGUAAUUUUCUCACCAUUAUUCAUCAUUUUCUAAGCCAUUUCUAUUAAAAUAAUAACAAUCCAUCACCCACACACAUCAAGGAAGAUUCGGCCAAUGAAGAUUCAUGAGGAAAAUGGAUUCUUUUCUUGUUGUUUUGCAUCUAAAUAUGCUAAACUAACCUUAAUCACUAUCAUAACUUAAAAUCAAACAAUUCAAACAUCAUUUCUCUCACCAUACCCAUUCGGCCUACCACUUAUUCACUAUGAAAUCAUGCUUCUCAACCAUAGAAAUAAAAAAAUAAAGCAUGGGUAUUGUAAAUCUCAAGUAAAAAUAAAGAAUUUUCACUUUACCUUGCUUAAUUCCUUGGAUUUUCACACUUUCUCUUGAAUUUUUCUUGGCUAGGGUUUGUUUUCCUUAUUUUCUUUCUUUCCUCUCUUGUUUUCUUGCUUGG